rnacentral:rRNA from 1 species
UACGUAGGGCGCAAGCGUUGUCCGGAAUUAUUGGGCGUAAAGAGCUCGUGGGCGGUUUGUCGCGUCUGCUGUGAAACCUAAGGCUCAACCUUGGGACUUGCAGUGGGUACGGGCAGACUAGAGUGCGGUAGGGGUGACUGGAAUUCCUGGUGUAGCGGUGGAAUGCGCAGAUAUCAGGAGGAACACCAAUGGCGAAGGCAGUC